AAAAAAAAAAAAUUAAGGAAACGCUUGUAAUCGUAGAUCAUCAGCUAGCGGAAUUGAAGGAAAAUGUAUCUCCAUUCUACAUUCCAGUCUGGACAACCCGCAAUGAUCGUAAUUCAGGAACGUAAAGGAAAAAUACAGAAAAAGCUAAUGAUUCUGAACCUAGUCUACCCCCGAGAAAAUAAACCCUGUUUGGAAUGGAACGGACCAUCAUCCGGAAACAGCAUUUAGGACGUAUGGCAGGAUGAUCAGCUCCUGUUGUGGAGCAUCCGAAAAAAUAUCACUAAGGGCCAAUUUCUUCACCUCCGCUUAACUCCUAAGCGGUGCUUACCCAUACGCUUAAACCUGGUUUAAGCACUAACAGGAGGUGACGAAAUCGGCCCUAAGAAGGAUUUGAUAUACAUGUACUUGUCGAUACAUUUGAUAAAUAAAAUUUAAAUUUAACUGAUUUUUAAUUUACUUGAAAAAUAUAUUAUAAAUCCGGAAAAAUUCGCUUGCGGCGAGACAAAUUCGUUUUCAAAAAUGGGUAUUUAUUUA